AUGAAAAAAAAAAUGACAACACAAACAUUAAAUGUUAAUAAUAAUUGUCUGAAUGAUAAAGUUAUAUACGAAGCACCUAUACUUUAUACAGGUUGUGUCACCAGUGGUACUGCAGAAAAUACUGAUUGUAGUUAUAGCGUUAAUAGUAAUAAUGCGAGUGAAAACAAUAUACAUCAAGACAUGAGUGAGGAAGAAAAUAUUGAAAAUUCUUUACUCGAAGGUGAAGAAAUAAAAAAUGGAACAUUAUCUACCUCGGAUGUACUAUACGAUAAAAAUAGUACAAAUAGUGCUACUGAUAAUAUAUUUAACAGUUUUACUAGUAAUAAUGAUAUUAACGAUAAUAAUGAUAAUUAUAAUGGAAAAGAUGAAAGUGAGAAAAAUAGUUAUGAACAACAAUUAUUUUUAUCAUCAGUCGAUAGCAGUGAUAAAAAUAGUACUAUAUCUUCAAAGAAAGAAUAUACAGAAAUAAUACAAAAUAUAAUAAAUUUUAAUAAAAAUAAAUUCGAAUUAAAUUUAAGUAGAGGGGAAUUAUAUUUAACUGAAGAAGAAUAUAUUUUUAUAUCAUCUUUUUUAAAUUCUAGUAAAUUUAGAUUUUAUUCAAUUGAAAAUAUGAUAAAAAAAAAAAAAAAAAAAAGAGAUAUAUAUAAUAAUAUUAUUAUGGAUGAGUCAUAUUUAUCAAAUUAUAAAAGAUCUAAAAGUGACAUUACAUUUUAUGCACAUAAUAAUAUAUAUAAUAAUAAGUAUGGUAUUUAUAAUGAUAAACAUGGGUAUCCGAGUGAUAAAACUAGUACUUAUAGUGAUAUAAAUUGUAGUAUGAAUGAAAUAAUGGAAGAAUAUAACCACAACAACAAUAACGACAACAACAACAACAACAACGAUAAUAAUAAUAAACUAUUAAAAUAUAAUACGUCAUCAGUAAUAUUAGAAAAUAUAAAUAAUACAUCAGUAAAUAAAUUACAGGAAGGAAAUAGCAACUGUAUGGAUGAAAUGACAGAUAAUGUCAAUACUACCACUGCUACUACUACUACUACUACUACUACUACUACUGCUAAUAAUAAUAAUAAUAAAAGUGGUUUAACAUGUGGUACUACUGAUAGUAGUAGUUGUAGUAGUAAAACCAAAAAGCAAUUAGAUAAUGAAAAAGAACUUAGUGCAGAAGAAAAAGAACAAAUAGAAUUAUGCGAAGAAGUAAUUAUACAAUUAAAAUAA
rnacentral:lncRNA from 1 species